GACGAACGCUGGCGGCGUGCUUAACACAUGCAAGUCGAACGGAAAGGCCCUGUUUUUUUGGGGUGCUCGAGUGGCGAACGGGUGGGUAACACGUGAGUAACCUACCUUUGACUUUCGUAUAACUUCAGGAAACUGGGGCUAAUACCGGAGAGGUACUCCUGCUGCAUGGUGGGGGUUGGAAAGUUUCGGCGGUUGGGGUUGGACUCGCGGCUUGUCGGCUUGUUGGUGGGGUAGUGGCUUACCAACGGGUUGACGGGUAGGCGGGCUGAGAGGGUGACCGGCCACAGUGGGACAGAGAUACGGGCCAGACCCGUGCGGAAGGCAGCAGUGGGGAAUAUUGCACAAUGGGCGGAAGCCUGAUGAAGCAACGCCGCGUGCGGGAUGACGGCCUUCGGGUUGUAAACCGCUUUCGCCUGUGACGAAGCGUGAGUGACGGUAAUGGGUAAAGAAGCACCGGCUAACUACGUG
rnacentral:rRNA from 1 species